UAAUCAUCUUAGGUUAAGGCAUCCUCCUCGGAUGCGGAGGAGGAUUUCACUUUAUUGUCGCCAAACAAAGUGAAUCAUUUUCAUAGGCAACCCCUUCGCCAACGCGCAGCGGGCGGGUGUUUCGUUAUAAAAAUUGUUUCAAAUCUCACCCCCUUUUUCAAACGCAAACGAUUCCUCACCACUAGUUUAUCACAAAGCAUUCAGCACUGCAGCAAUAAAAUAAUUCUGAAGAAAUUAUUUUGAAGUCUUCUAGGAGUUUUAGUGAAAUAAAAUCAUAAAUUCAUUAAAGAAUGCUUGGUUUCAAAACGAGUCUAAUUAUUUUUUUGAGUGCGGUUGUCUUAAUUAUUUUGAUAUCAGGUGCUGAAAGUAAAGGCUUAGAUUGUGAAAGACAUUGUAGGAUCCACCGGGUUUCUGUUGGGUCCUGUAGGUGCAGGCCAGAGCUAUUCGUCAAAAAGAGAUUUUCCAGUGACACAUCAGCCGGGAAUAUGGACAAAGCAGCUUCUGAGCUCCUCCUCCGGUACCUGAAAGAAGCUUCUCGCAAGAUCGAUGAUAAGGAAGGAUUAAAAGAUUUCGGUGGAGAGAGAGAAUUCGAGACAGAAGUGGAUUAUCUUUAAAAAGGUUCCUUUAAGAGAAACUAAAGGAUUGUGGAUUGUCUAUUUAAAGUCAAAUGUUGUAAAUUUUAAGAUGAAAAAAAAAUGGAUUAAAAAUGCUUUGAAACUGU